UGUUUCCUACGGGGGGCCGCCGUGGGGGAUAUUGCACAAUGGGGGGCACCCUGAUGCAGCGACGCCGCGUGAGCGAAGAAGUACCUCGGUAUGUAAAGCUCUAUCAGCAGGGAAGAAAAUGACGGUACCUGACUAAGAAGCCCCGGCUAAAUACGUGCCAGCAGCCGCGGUAAUACGUAUGGGGCAAGCGUUAUCCGGAUUUACUGGGUGUAAAGGGAGCGCAGGCGGCCUGCC
rnacentral:rRNA from 1 species